AUCAGGGGGGCCUUCAACAUAUGGCUUAGAGAAGAGCCAGAUAAACAGCACAGUAACCUGACCUGCCAGGAUUCUGUGGCAUAGUGGUAGCAAAGGGAAAGGUGAGUAUGGCAUAUGGCAAGUAAAUUGUGAGGGCAAAGACAGACUGAGAGUCAAUAUCCUUUGUUUCUUAGCAUCACGGGCUGGACUUCUGGCUUUCUACAUUUGAUGCUGCUUUUUCAAGAGGAGACAAAAGCAAUAAUAAGUAGUAAAAUACUUCCUGCAGGUGUGGGGCGCUCAAACCUGUGAGUGGCUUCCAACUUCUAGAUGAGAAGGGCAUAAAAUAUGCUUGGUCUGUCCUGCUUAGGGUAGCUUUAUUUAAAAGCACACAAGACGACAAUACUUGUAGGCAGCAGCAACAACAUUUACUAAACCAAGUGAUACAGCUGGAAAAGCGUGAACAGUCUUUUGGACUCAGAUCACUGCAGAAGCAGUGCAGUGAGUACUCCUUUCUCAUUACAGCUCUUGCAGCAGGAUGUCUUGAAAACCACUGCCUUCUUUGCAUUGCCUCUAAAAAUCAAUGGCUAUCUAUCUAGGAAUGAGGUCUUGCUCUGCUGGUUUUUAACAAGUAUUUUCUUCCUUCUGUUUGUGGAUGUGUUUGCAGUGUGCUUUCUAGUAGUUGCCAAGCUUUCUGUCAUGCUCCAUAGCGCAGAUCCCUUCCAUUUUAGUGAUGAGUGGGGUACGCUUUGGAUAGAGCGAGAAAUGAUAAUGUAAAUCGAUGCUCCUAAGAAGUCAUAUGUAAAGACAGAAAUUGUGUGGUAUCUCCUGAAACAGAAUGGUUUAUGAGAGCCUGCAGUGUGUCCUACUGGAAGUAUACUCUGGAAAAACAGAAAACCUGAAUGAGCUUGAGGUUGUUGGCUGCUAUUGAACAGGGAUGAAUCCGUAUCCAGCUAAGUCUGCUUCCGUUGCAGCUGUGAUUGGCUCUGAAUAAAUCAAAAAGUUGUGUGUAUUUGAUUUUGCUCAGUUACCCUGAGAAACAAGUUGCUGCACUCAAAUCUCCAUUUUUCGUUGUCAGUGUCUCCCAUGUUCCUUUCUUCUGCAGUCUCUAAAAACAUAAUGGCAUGUCCUCAUUCACUGAUUAUGAAAAGAGCGAGUAGGUGGUAGGGUGGAAGUUCAAGUUGGAGAUGAAAACUUUUAUUUAGGGAAUAUAAUUCUUAUGCAAGGGAACGGGUGCUUGACAGCUGACUAAUCUCUUCUAAUGAAUUUGCCUCCUGAGAGCUUAGUAAAUAUUGCCGUGUAACCAUGUAUGAAUCAUCAGUGUGCUCUAAAAUGAUGGGAACGCUCUGAGAUCCCUUGGUUGCUGUGAGCUGAAAGCAGUCAAAACCACCUCCGGAAGUGCAAUGCCUGCCCCAGUUCAGGGGUCCAAAGCUCACGGACCCACCUCCAUUUCAGGUGGGGAAAUGCCAGUGAGCAUUUCACCUAUUUGGAUCCCUCCUUUGUAACUUUUGACCUACUGGCUUUGACAGCAGCAAAUGUCAUAUUUGCUCUGGAGCGUCAGGGAGAGGAGAGCUGUGUGUACCUGCUGGUACACUGGAAACACUGAACUUCUCCAAGUCCUGGCUGAGCCAACACUGCACCUCACGCAUAAAGGAGGACAUUCUCUGCCAUGUGUAUGACAGCCUUUCAGCAGGGUUUGCUACCUUGUAAUAUAAGCUUUCUGAACCUAAGCAUCAAGAGAAGUAUCAUACUUCUAAGCUAGCUGUAGAAAUCAAACUGAAAACCUGUAACACAGAAUAAACCACAGCAAUCCCUGCGCUCCUCCUGUGGUUCUGCACCACAUACGUAACUUGUUGGGGGAAUAUUUAGCGUGGAGAAACAUCCUGUCCCUGACCCGUCAUAGCCUGUUCAUUCUGGGCUGUCUGUCUCUGACUCUGCAGGGUUUCUGAGCAUUUGUGACGAAGAAUAGACACUGCAACUGGAUGUGGAAGAUCUGUGUUAAGAACACUAAUAAUUUGAUUUUGUCUGUAGAGGACUACACCAGUCAGUCAAGUGUGCAUUCUCUCUUUCUAUGGGAUGAGUUUAAAAUAAAACACUCCUCCCCCCCACCCCUGCACCAGCUCCCUGUUCUAUCGCUGGUAUUUAAAGUACGAGAUCCAGCUGAUUUCCUCGUGCGGGGAUUUCCUGGUUGUUCGAGCACCAACUUGGGACUUGGAGACAACACCACUGUGCCUUGUCACUGCCUUUGAAGACAUCACGUAAUGCUCUUUUCCAUAGCAUUUGAGACUCAGGUAGGAACCUCUCAGACUUCUCAAAGGUCGAUAGACAAGUUAAGCACCAGUGUCUCGUUCUCUGCAAAUGCUUCUACAGCUCAGCUGGUUCACAAAAAUAAAUAAAUCUUCCUAAACGCCUGCUUCUCAGUGGCUACAUUUAUAAAUAUCUUCUCGGAUAUAUCAGUUCUUCCAUUCCUCACCUGUGCUGCGCUCUACUCAGGCAAUACUUUGCUUUCUUAAAUGGAGGUUGUCAAGAUAUGUUCGCUAAUAUGGUGCUUAUGUACUGUGGCAAUGGGGGAUAAACCAGUUUUUCAGAUGAGAUAGCCAAGAGGAAACUUUUAUCUAUCAAAACACACUGAAAGAUUCUUGCUGCUGGGGGAGGGCUUCUUUUCUCCACUGCUUCCAAAAUCCUCUGUGCUCCCAGAUGUUCGUAGGUGGUGUGCACGAGCCAGGGGCUGAAAAGGAGAAACAAAGGACAUCAGGAAGCAGCAGCAGACAGACGUUACCUGUCCCUGCCAUGGAAGGAUGGAGUGGCCUUGCAGCUGUUGAUGAGACUGAAAAGAGUGAGCCAGAAUAGGCCCAAGCUGAAGAUCUGUGGCCCCUGCUGUCACGAGGAAAGACUGGGUCUCCUGAGAAAAGCUGCUUUCCCCACCGCCUCCCUGCCCAAACCCAGCUGUACCCCCGGAGGUGCGCUCACCAGCAGGGAAAGGCUUCAGUUUUAGGCGGCCAGGCAGAAAAGAAACCCCAGGAGACACAGCCUGAUUAACAAGUCUGCAGGGGCUGGCAGUGAGUUCUGCAAGGUUGAAAGCGAACUUGGUGUAACCGUUGGCACUUGUUCCACGUAGGAAUAGUAAGUUCAUUUUUGUGCGCUUCCUGAUGCUCGCUCUGUGGUCGCGAGCUGAUAGAAGGCAACGCUUCAACUUCCUGAAUCCUCUAAAUAAAGCAUCCUUUCUAUAUAGAAAUUUUCAAAGAAAAGGCACAUUGUACUUUCUGCUUUGGUCGAGUUUUCGUGUUUGCCUCUUUGAAUGAACAACUUUGGUCAUUAAACAGUUGGAAACUUACUUCAAAAGGCUUGAAUGUAUCGUAAGGAAAAAUAUCUUCACUUGAAUGGCUUGGAGCUGCUCUCAGAAGUUUAUUUACAUAGCUGUUGUAUUGUGCCACAGUUUGAAGGGCAUCCAGGCUUCCUCUUUAAUCUAAACUCCUUUUACUUAAUUAAGUCACAAAUAACUUCAGUUUUCCUUAUUACUAAGUCUGUUUCUUUCAAGAGAUUAUUAUAGCAAACCAGCAAGUAGUUAAAUACUUGAAUUAAUACAUAUAUUAGCUCUUGUAAAUUCAGAUGUAGUGAAGAGCAAGUCAGCCAGUCCCCAUCCAUGCACGCACGCCAUAACGUGAACGAGUGUGCCUGGAUAUAGUGAGGAUGCAAAGCUCCUACCCUUGCCUGACACUUGUGAGAGCAGUUCAUUUUCAGGGUCACCUCUAAAGUUGAGAAAAAAUGUGUUUUCCUCCAGUAGGAAGUCCUUCAUAAAACUAGGUGUUACGAAUUUAGCUAGAAUUUCCUGUUCCUACUAAGCCAGGUUGAAUAAAGUGGGUAGGCUAGCACUGAACACUCCAU